rnacentral:lncRNA from 1 species
GUUGAAUUAUGGAGUUGUAAGUCAUAUAUACAUAUAUGCAUUGUUAAGUUGUAUGUAGAUAUACACAAGUGGAGUCAGUUGCAUAAGCAUAUAAAGCGGGAGGGCUCUUGCCCUGGAACGCCUUGUCGUUCAAAGCGGGAGGACUCAUGUCCUGGAACACUUUAUUGUUCAAAUUGGUGAGGGCUUAUGCCCUGAUGAAUGCUUUAACCAUUCAAAUUCGGUGAGGGCUUCUGCCCUGUAAAU